CCUACGGGGGGCUGCAGUGGGGAAUAUUGCGCAAUGGCCGAAAGGCUGACGCAGCGACGCCGCGUGAGGGAUGAAGGUCUUCGGAUUGUAAACCUCUGUCGGGGGGGACGAAAUUCUGACGGUACCCCCAAAGGAAGCACCGGCUAACUCUGUGCCAGCAGCCGCGGUAAUACAGAGGGUGCGAGCGUUGUCCGGAAUCACUGGGCGUAAAGGGCGCGUAGGCGGCCUGGUAAGUCGGGGGUGAAACGCUGCGGCUCAACCGCAGCACUGCCUUCGAGACUGUCAGGCUUGAGCACGGUAGAGGCAGGUGGAAUUCCCGGUGUAGCGGUGGAAUGCGUAGAGAUCGGGAAGAACAUCGGUGGCGAAGGCGACCUGCUGGGCCGUUGCUGACGCUGAGGCGCGACAGCGUGGGGAGCAAACAGGAUUAGAUACCCUAGUAGUC
rnacentral:rRNA from 1 species